rnacentral:rRNA from 1 species
GAUGAACGCUAGCUACAGGCUUAACACAUGCAAGUCGAGGGGCAGCAUUAUCUUAGCUUGCUAAGAUAGAUGGCGACCGGCGCACGGGUGAGUAACACGUAUCCAACCUUCCGGUUACUCGGGGAUAGGCUUUCGAAAGAAAGAUUAAUACCCGAUGUUGCGUAUCUUUCUCCUGAAAGAUACGCCAAAGGAUUCCGGUAACCGAUGGGGAUGCGUUCCAUUAGGCAGUUGGCGGGGUAACGGCCCACCAAACCUUCGAUGGAUAGGGGUUCUGAGAGGAAGGUCCCCCACAUUGGAACUGAGACACGGUCCAAACUCCUACGGGAGGCAGCAGUGAGGAAUAUUGGUCAAUGGACGGAAGUCUGAACCAGCCAAGUAGCGUGAAGGAUGACUGCCCUCUGGGUUGUAAACUUCUUUUAUACGGGAAUAACAUGAGGUACGCGUACCUUAUUGCAUGUACCGUUAUGAAUAAGCAUCGGCUAACUCCGUGCCAGCAGCCGCGGUAAUACGGAGGAUGCGAGCGUUAUCCGGAUUUAUUGGGUUUAAAGGGAGCGUAGGUGGGAUAUUAAGUCAGCUGUGAAAGUUUGGGGCUCAACCUUAAAAUUGCAGUUGAUACUGGUUUC